rnacentral:rRNA from 1 species
AUUGAACGCUGGCGGCAUGCCUUACACAUGCAAGUCGGACGGCAGCGGACCUUCGGGUGCCGGCGAGUGGCGAACGGGUGAGUAAUAUAUCGGAACGUACCUUUCAGUGGGGGAUAACGUAGCGAAAGUUACGCUAAUACCGCAUAUUCUGUGAGCAGGAAAGCAGGGGAUCGCAAGACCUUGCGCUGAUUGAGCGGCCGAUAUCAGAUUAGCUAGUUGGUGAGGUAAAGGCUCACCAAGGCGACGAUCUGUAGCGGGUCUGAGAGGAUGAUCCGCCACACUGGAACUGAGACACGGUCCAGACUCCUACGGGAGGCAGCAGUGGGGAAUUUUGGACAAUGGGCGCAAGCCUGAUCCAGCCAUGCCGCGUGAGUGAAGAAGGCCUCGG